rnacentral:rRNA from 1 species
GAACAGGAUUAGAUACCCUGGUAGUCCACGCGGUAAACGGUGGGCGCUAGUUGUGCGAACCUUCCACGGUCUGUGCGACGCAGCUAACGCAUUAAGCGCCCCGCCUGGGGAGUACGAUCGCAAGAUUAAAACUCAAAGGAAUUGACGGGGCCCCGCACAAGCAGCGGAGCAUGCGGCUUAAUUCGACGCAACGCGAAGAACCUUACCAAGGCUUGACAUAUACAGGAAUACGGCAGAGAUGUCGUAGCGGUUAAACGUCUGUAUACAGGUGGUGCAUGGUUGUCGUCAGCUCGUGUCGUGAGAUGUUGGGUUAAGUCCCGCAACGAGCGCAACCCUCGUUCUGUGUUGCCAGCAUUUAGUUGGGGACUCACAGGAGACUGCCGGGGUUAACUCGGAGGAAGGUGGGGAUGACGUCAAAUCAUCAUGCCCCUUAUGUCUUGGGCUGCACGCAUGCUACAAUGGCUGGUACAAAGGGCUGCAAUACUGCAAAGUGGAGCGAAUCCCAAAAAGCCAGUCUCAGUUCGGAUUGGGGUCUGCAACUCGACCCCAUGAAGUCGGAGUUGCUAGUAAUCGUAGAUCAGCAACGCUACGGUGAAUACGUUCCCGGGGCUUGUACACACCGCCCGUCACAUCACGAAAGUCGGUAACACCCGAAGUCAGUGGCCCAAC